GACGAACGCUGGCGGCGUGCUUAACACAUGCGAGUCGAACGGAAAGGCCCUGCUUUUGUGGGGUGCUCGAGUGGCGAACGGGUGAGUAACACGUGAGUAACCUGCCCUUGACUUUGGGAUAACUUCAGGGAACUGGGGCUAAUACCGGAUAGGAGCUCCUGCUGCAUGGUGGGGGUUGGAAAGUUUCGGCGGUUGGGGAUGGACUCGCGGCUUAUCAGCUUGUUGGUGGGGUAGUGGCUUACCAAGGCUUUGACGGGUAGCCGGCCUGAGAGGGUGACCGGCCACAUUGGGACUGAGAUACGGCCCAGACUCCUACGGGAGGCAGCAGUGGGGAAUAUUGCACAAUGGGCGGAAGCCUGAUGCAGCAACGCCGCGUGCGGGAUGACGGCCUUCGGGUUGUAAACCGCUUUCGCCUGUGACGAAGCGUGAGUGACGGUAAUGGGUAAAGAAGCACCGGCUAACUACGUG
rnacentral:rRNA from 1 species